rnacentral:rRNA from 1 species
UACGGAGGGAGCUAGCGUUGUUCGGAAUUACUGGGCGUAAAGCGCACGUAGGCGGCGAUUCAAGUCAGAGGUGAAAGCCCGGGGCUCAACCCCGGAACUGCCUUUGAAAACUAGAUUGCUAGAAUCUUUGGAGAGGCGAGUGGAAUUCCGAGUGUAGAGGUGAAAUUCGUAGAUAUUCGGAAGAACACCAGUGGCGAAGGCGACUCGCUGGACAAGUAUUGACGCUGAGGUGCGAAAGCGUGGGGAGCAAACAGG